rnacentral:rRNA from 1 species
AUAGCGUAUAUUAAAAUUGUUGCGUUUAAAAAGCUCGUAGUUGGAUCUCGGUACAGAAUUACGGUCCCCCUAACGGGUGGUUACUGUAUUUCUGACCGAAAAUAUCCGGUUCGUUCUUGGUGCUCUUUAUUGAGUGUCUUGAAUGGCUGGAAAAUUUACUUUGAAAAAAUUAGAGUGCUUAAAGCAGGCGUAAGCCUGAAUAGUGGUGCAUGGAAUAAUGGAAUAGGACCUCGGUUCUAUUUUAUUGGUUUUCGGAACCAAGGUAAUGAUUAAGAGGGACAGACGGGGGCAUUAGUAUUGCGACGUUAGAGGUGAAAUUCUUGGAUCGUCGCAAGACUAACUACUG